GACGAACGCUGGCGGCGUGCUUAACACAUGCAAGUCGAACGGAAAGGCCCUGCUUUUGUGGGGUGCUCGAGUGGCGAACGGGUGAGUAACACGUGAGUAACCUGCCCUUGACUUUGGGAUAACUUCAGGAAACUGGGGCUAAUACCGGAUAGGAGCUCCUGCUGCAUGGUGGGGGUUGGAAAGUUUCGGCGGUUGGGGAUGGACUCGCGGCUUAUCAGCUUGUUGGUGGGGUAGUGGCUUACCAAGGCUUUGACGGGUAGCCGGCCUGAGAGGGUGACCGGCGACAUUGGGACUGAGAUACGGCCCAGACUCCUACGGGAGGCAGCAGUGGGGAAUAUUGCACAAUGGGCGGAAGCCUGAUGCAGCAACGCCGCGUGCGGGAUGACGGCCGUCGGGGUGUAGACCGAAUACGCCUGUGACGAAGCGUGAGUGACGGUAAUGGGUAAAGAAGCACCGGCUAACUACGUG
rnacentral:rRNA from 1 species